UACGGAGGGUGCAAGCGUUAAUCGGAUUUAUUGGGUUUAAAGGGUGCGUAGGCGGAACAAUAAGUCAGUUGCGAAAGUUUGCGGCUCAACCGUAAAAUUGCAGUUGAUACUGUUAUUCUUGAGUGUACAUAAGGUAGGCGGAAUUCGUGGUGUAGCGGUGAAAUGCUUAGAUAUCACGAAGAACUCCAAUUGCGAAGGCAGCUUACCGGGGUACAACUGACGCUGAGGCACGAAAGUGUGGGUAUCAAAC
rnacentral:rRNA from 1 species